rnacentral:rRNA from 1 species
UACGUAGGGUGCAAGCGUUGUCCGGAAUUAUUGGGCGUAAAGAGCUCGUAGGCGGUCUGUCGCGUCGGCUGUGAAAACUCGGGGCUCAACCCCGAGCCUGCAGUCGAUACGGGCAGACUAGAGUCCGGAAGAGGAGAGUGGAAUUCCCGGUGUAGCGGUGAAAUGCGCAGAUAUCGGGAAGAACACCUAUGGCGAAGGCAGCUCUCUGGGACGGUACUGACGCUGAGAAGCGAAAGCGUGGGGAGCGAACAGG